GCGUCCGUAGCUCAGUUGGUUAGAGCACCACCUUGACAUGGUGGGGGUCGGUGGUCCGAGUCCACUCGGACGCACCA
rnacentral:tRNA from 1 species